UACGGGGGGGGCAAGCGUUGUUCGGAAUUACUGGGCGUAAAGGGCUCGUAGGUGGCCAACUAAGUCAUACGUGAAAUCCCUCGGCUUAACCGGGGAACUGCGCCUGAUACUGGUUGGCUUGAGUUUGGGAGAGGGACGCGGAAUUCCAGGUGUAGCGGUGAAAUGCGUAGAUAUCUGGAGGAACACCGGUGGCGAAGGCGGCGUCCUGGACCAAUACUGACACUGAGGAACGAAAGCCAGGGGAGCAAACGGG
rnacentral:rRNA from 1 species